CGACGGUGUCCUCGGGCGGCGGCGUCCAGUGCGCCCUGCCGGCGGCCAUCCCCGGCCAUGGCAUGGCGUGAGCAGGGCCCUCUGCUGCCUGGCGGUGUGGGUGCUCCCUGAGGCGGACUCCUCGAAACCCUAGGUUUCUGUACUUGCGGACACGGGUGCCCGGUGGCGGGCUCAGCCGUGGUAGUCCCAUCGGUAAGCACGAAAGCCCCAGCACGAGCAGGCUUCUGCCGCGGCCGUUCCGGUGACGCCCGUGGUUGUCACCUUCGAUUUUGGAACAUCGACGUCGGCCGCGUUCCCUUCGAGAUGCAGAGUGGCCAGGCUCCCACCAGUGACCUCACUCCACCAGAUGCAAUGGCAGCCCUGCCGUCUCACCAUACCACGCUCGUUGCAGCAACAGCCUGUGUGCAUUACCGCCUUUGGUUCUAUAGCAACUCCAAUAAAACAUAUGAAGAUACACCGACAAUCUGUGCAUCUGCAGAGCCAAGAAAUCCAGCAUUCAAUCAUGAAUUGGUGUCAGAACAAUUCAUAGAUUGGCGUUGGCUUUACAGAACACACCCGUUUCAAUUUGAAGGUUGCCUGCAAUAAGGUAAUGACAUGAACAUUCUCUGCUUCUCUUCAAUGCAUGUUGUAAAUACUAAGUUCAAUAAAAUUAUGUCUCCUGUGAUCAAAUAGUGCGGUCUUCCCCUGCUAUUUUCCUAGCUAAAAAGGUUACUUUUUAUUCCUUAUAUUGAUCGGAGUUGCCUUAUGUUACCAGAGUAGGAUGUUGUUGGACUGCUUUGUGGCAUUUUUAACAAUACUAUUGUAAGUUUGGUUAAAACUAAUGUUGUAAGUUUCCGCUCUAUGCUUCUACCUACUAUUUUGGCUGUCACGUGUAAUGAUAAAUUUUGGUUUCCUUUUUUGGGCAGCUUCAUUCAGCAGUGCCCUUCACAUGGUUUGGUAUGGUGGCUACUUUUUUUUAUGAGCCCAUUCAGAUUGUGCAGAUCAUUUUCCUAAAUGCACUGCUUCUCAUAUGAUUUUCAGAGUGAUACAUGUUUUAACAAUCGCUGGUUUAUUUCCAUUAUGCAACAUGUUAGGCUACAGGAUGAAACUCUUUCACAGCUAUAUUACGAAGGUUUAUCAUUCAAUGGUUGAUUUCAAAAUACAUCGGCCUAUGUACCCUUUUCUCUUUCGUGUUCAAUUUUCUUUUGUUGGACCAUGCUAUUCGCUGUCUGUUUAGAGCUGCAUCGGACUGACUUCACAAGACAUGGAAGGUUUUCGAAGGGUGGGUUUGUAGUUUCACCUGACUAGAUACUGAUGCUUCAUCUAUAAAGAUUCUUCCUACAUGCCUUUGGUCAAUUUUCUAUUAGAAUUGGAAACACUGAUACAGGUUUUGUGAUGAGCACAGGAAAGACUCUUCUCAAGAUUCACCCAACUCCUACACGCUGCCUUCUUCCACCAGCUUGCAACAAUCAAAGACCACAUCCAAGACAAAUGGAGAAUCACAACCUCAUUUGCUACACGGUGAAACAUCAACAUCUGCACCAUAUGCCUACACUUAUGUAGUAUAAUCAUCCUAUAAAUAUCUAUCCGCCUCACGACCUCACUGUGUGUACAUCACUAGAAAUUCCUAAGCGAUGCAGUAAACAAUCGGCACCACUACCGUGUGACUCCACCUAUAUAAUUUUUGCAUAUUGUAAAUAUGUAACAAUCAAGGUACUUUAACUAUGUAAAUGACCA